CUAUACAUGACUCUGCGCAUAUCAAUAAGGGAGGAAAAGAAACUAACAAGGAUUCCCUUAGUAACGGCGAGUGAAGCGGGAAGAGCUCAAAUUUGAAAUCUUCAAGGUUUUACCUUGACGAAUUGUAGUUUAAAGAAGUGUUUUCUGUUGGAGUUUCGGUAAAGGUUCUUUGGAAUAGGACAUCAUAGAGGGUGAGAAUCCCGUAUUUGACCAGUUACUUUCCAGCUGUGUGAUACACUUUCAAAGAGUCGGAUUGUUUGGGAAUACAGUCCAAAAUGGGUGAUAAAUUUCAUCUAAAGCUAAAUAUUGGCGAGAGACCGAUAGCGAACAAGUAGCCGUGAGGGAAAGAUGAAAAGAACUUUGAAAAGAGAGUUAAACAGUACGGUGAAAUUGUCAAAAGGGAAGCGUUUGACACCAGUGUUGUUUAGUUCGAAAAUCAAUUCACUAAUUUUUGAUUUUUAAGUAGUUAUGACUUCAUCAGCUUGCUGCCUUUCUUUAGGAAACUUUCUUGAAUGCACUUUUCAGUUAACAAGUCAACAUCAAUUUCUCUUGUUGUAAAAGGGUAUAGAGGAAGGUGGCUUGCGCUUUCGGAUAAAGUGUUUAUAGCCUUGUAUCCUCUGCAAUCGGAGAGAUUGAGGUCUGCAGCGUAGAUCCUUCGGGGUUAGAUACAUUGGUGCUAAGUUAUAGCUUGUCAUAGACAACUUGUUGACUAUGUUCAGUCAUUGUAGCUUACUCGCUGAUGCUAUUUUACCUACGCUUAGGAUGUUGAAGAUAUGCGCGACACGACGCUAUACAUGACUCUGCGCAUAUCAAUAAGCGGAGGAAAAGUCAAUACCUACGCUUAGGAUGUUGAAGAUAUGCGCGACACGGCUCUAUACAUGACUCUGCGCAUAUCAAUAAGCGGAGGAAAAGAAACUAACUAGGAUUCCCUUAGUAAUGACGAGUGAAGCGGGAAGAUCUUACUCGCUUGCGCUAUUUUACCUACGCUUAGGAUGUUGAAGAUAUGCGCGACACGACCCUAUACAUGACUCUGCGCAUAUCAAUAAGCGGAGGAAAAGAGGGCUAUUACCUACGCUUAGGAUGUUGAAGAUAUGCGCGACACG
rnacentral:rRNA from 1 species